rnacentral:lncRNA from 10 species
CCUCAGCCUCCCGAGUAGCUGGGACCACAGGCGCGCGUCACUACACCUGGCUAAUUUUUGUAUUUUUAGUAGAGAUGGGGUUUCACCAUAUUGACCAGGCUGGUCUCAAACUCCUGACCUCGUGAUCCACGCUCCUUGGCCUCCCAAAGUGUUGGGAUUACAGGCGUGAGCCACUGCGCCUGGCCAACAGUGUUUUUGCUAUGCCUUUUCUAUGUUUAGAUACACAAAUACUUCCCAUUGUGUUACACUUGCCUACAGUAUUCCGUGCAGUCACAUGCUGUCUAGGUUUGUAGCCUGGGCAAGAGGCUAAACCACAUAGCCUAGGGGUGUAGGAGGCCACACCAUCCAGGUCUGUGUAAGCACGCGCUCUGAUGUUCACACAAUGACAAAAUCAUCUGACGAUGCAUUUCUCAGAACAUAUUCCCAUCAUUAAGUGACGCAUGACUGCAGAAAACUGGGGGAAGAAACCUGAAAACUCGUCAGCCUGCAGCACAGUGAGAUAAAGAAAUGGAAACACAUAUGAGAAAUUAAGAGACAGAGAGAACAAGAUGAGGUGCUUAAAUAGGCACCUCAUAGAAGUUCUAGAAAGAGAACAGUGAGACUCUGGAAUAGUCAAUAUUUGUAGAGGUAAUGCCUGAAGUUUUUCCAGAAUUGAAGGACAUACAUGGUGUGGUUUUAAAAUAUCCUCAAGUCCUAGACAGGAUAACUAGAAACCAAUUCCUGUGAAGACAGCGUAACAAACUGCAAAACACAAGGAUAAGGAGAAAAAUGUGAAAGCUACCCGGGAAGACAGGAUAACUAGAAACCAAUUCCUGUGAAGACAGCAUAACAAACUGCAAAACACAAGGAUAAGGAGAAAAAUGUGAAAGCUACCCGGGAUUAAAAAUCACCAAAAACAACAGAUACAAGAUGAAGGGUAUACAGUGAGAUGGUGGUACCCACCUCAUCAGUAAGGCCGAAUGUCGGCGUGCAGGGAAAUUAUAUCCACAAUCCUUACAUUGUUCUGAUCCAAGGACAGACAGACUUCACAGAGCAGGAGAGAUAACCUGGAAAGAGAGAAACGAAGUGAAUAUUCGACAAAAAAUGGAUCACAAACCAGGACGACUUGGAGGAUUAGACAAUAAAAAGCAGAGAUAAUCAGCUUGGCUCAGAACAUGGAUACUCUGGGAGCCCCACCCGCGGACCACUUUAAAGCAGAAGGAUCCCACAGGGAACGGUUCUGAAUUGGGGCCGAGGAAUUCCACUCCACCACAAGCUACACAAACCCCCUCUUCCCGCUGUGUCUUCCUCCAGCCGAUUUGUGGAGGGGAUAUUUAUAGGAUUUCCACCAUUUAUGGAAGGCAUUUUUGAAAGGAAAAAUCAGGCGGGGGCUUUUUCCUAGUAAAAGCUUAUGGUCGUCAUCAUUUGCUCUCAUUAGCCCCAAAUCCUCUUCGCUGCAGUGUCAAAGCCCUCCUCCAUUCUUUGCUUCACCACAUUUUUAUUCACUAACUCCUUCCCUAAGUUCCGCCGUCCCAGAGGCAAUUUGUAAUUAAUAAUGAAAACCCCACCUCCCAAGCUGUACUGGAGAGGGGAGCAUCUCACUAGCACGCAUCUCUCCAGCAAAUAGUGUUUCUUGGGCAGUGUUCUUAAGACUUCAUCAAGUGUAUCCCUACACAGAACAGACAGGCUGCCAGGUCACAUCUGGGGACAAUUGGGGGUUUGGAAAUGUAUCAUAUUUUUUCUCAUGAAGUUUUCUCACCUGUCUUUGGAGCUGCCAUCAUUAACAUUAGGGCAAAAAUUAAAAUAAAAAAUAAUACAUGGUAAAACCAGUGGAGUAGUAGCUGAUAAAACAAGCACAGUAACUAAAAAGAAAGUAAUUUUGAGCUGAUUGAAGAGAGAAUAGUUUAUUCCCCCUCCCAGAAAUAACUGCUACCUCUUCAAACCUGACAUUAAAAUACCAGAGAGAAACAGAUUACCUACUAUGUUUUGAAAUUUAAAGUUAACUUUAUUAUUUUAAGAAUUUUAGAACAGUGUUUUUUCUUCUCAUAACAAUCAGAUAUCAGCUUCCUCUAAAAGUUUUUGAAAGUCUCCUCACACUAAUUGUACUGCCUUUUUCAAUUAAAAAUACUUCAAGGAAUGUGAAAUGAUUAGUCAAUUCAAACAUUCUCUAUUCAGUGCUACGAUGAAGGCUUUAAGUAUUGACGAAAACAUGCCCCAUGUAGGACAACCAAAUCAUCUUUCAGGCGUUGGAUCAGGACCAAUAACUUGAGAAAUAAAUAUGUUGAUUCUUCCACAAAUCUUAAAGUCUGAUCUGUGUUAUCUUUGUUGCAAUUAUAAAAAUAAAAUAAAAAGUGCUUCAAAUAUAUACUAGCCUUGCUAUUUGAAACAGACGAGAAAAAACAGGGCUUCAAAUAUAUGGUAUUCUUGCUAUUUGAAACGGAAAUCUGAAAGAAUGAAGAAGGA